CCGAUCGAUUCGGGGCGUG
rnacentral:snRNA from 1 species